GACGAACGCUGGCGGCGUGCCUAAUACAUGCAAGUAGAACGCACAGUUUAUACCGUAGCUUGCUACACCAUAGACUGUGAGUUGCGAACGGGUGAGUAACGCGUAGGUAACCUGCCUGGUAGCGGGGGAUAACUAUUGGAAACGAUAGCUAAUACCGCAUAAUAUUAAUUAUUGCAUGAUAAUUAAUUGAAAGGUGCAAUUGCACCACUACCAGAUGGACCUGCGUCGUAUUAGCUAGUAGGUGAGGUAACGGCUCACCUAGGCGACGAUACAUAGCCGACCUGAGAGGGUGAUCGGCCACACUGGGACUGAGACACGGCCCAGACUCCUACGGGAGGCAGCAGUAGGGAAUCUUCGGCAAUGGACGAAAGUCUGACCGAGCAACGCCGCGUGAGUGAAGAAGGGUUUCGGAUCGUAAAGCUCUGUUGUAAGAGAAGAACGGGUGUGAGAGUGGAAAGUUCACACUGUGACGGUAUCUUACCAGAAAGGGACGGCUAACUACGUG
rnacentral:rRNA from 1 species